GAUGAACGCUAGCGGCAGGCUUAACACAUGCAAGUCGAGGGGUAUAGGGAGCUUGCUUCCUAGAGACCGGCGCACGGGUGCGUAACGCGUAUGCAAUCUACCUUUUGCAGAGGGAUAGCCCAGAGAAAUUUGGAUUAAUACCUCAUAGUAUGUGAGAAUGGCAUCAUUUUCACAUUAAAGUCACAACGGCAAAAGAUGAGCAUGCGUCCCAUUAGCUUGUUGGUAAGGUAACGGCUUACCAAGGCAACGAUGGGUAGGGGUCCUGAGAGGGAGAUCCCCCCACACUGGUACUGAGACACGGACCAGACUCCUACGGGAGGCAGCAGUGAGGAAUAUUGGACAAUGGGCGCAAGCCUGAUCCAGCCAUGCCGCGUGCAGGAUGACGGUCCUAUGGAUUGUAAACUGCUUUUGUACAGGAAGAACACUGGUUCGUGAACCAGCUUGACGGUACUGUAAGAAUAAGGAUCGGCUAACUCCGUG
rnacentral:rRNA from 1 species